AUUUAUUCAAGUUUAAAAGUUACUGAUGAGCACUGAGGAAAGGUUCUCACAACAAUUAGACUUUUUAUAAUAGAAAUGACUGAAGAGAGAACAGUGGAGCAUUUUAAUUUCCCUACAGUUAUUUUUGAAUUAAAAAUUCAGGCAGAUAAUGAAAGUAAGCAGAUAUAGCUGAUAAGUAAACAGUAUGUGUCUUUAAAGGCAAGAAUAUAAACCUAUCCAAUGUAUUUCUACAGCUUGUGUGAUUGCUCCACCACUAAAGCUGGGAAGCUGGAAUCAAGUGGAGACACCUUAGCCCAGGAUGGGAGUGGAGCACCAACUCUGAUUCCUGCUCCAGCCAUCUACAUCUUGGCCCCAAUGCUUAAAAGAGGACAGCCCUGCAGUGGAGAAGCUGAGAGUAAUGCUUUAAAGUGGUUUCCCUGGAGAUUGUUGUGGGGAAACAGAGCUAGAAGCCUGUGAUGCUGAGUCUUGCUUGCUGAAGUUGCCAGGAGGUGCUACUCUGAGGUAGCAUGCUUUCUUAAGGCAAGUCUGUACUACAAA
rnacentral:lncRNA from 1 species